UACGUAGGGGGCUAGCGUUGUCCGGAAUCAUUGGGCGUAAAGAGCGUGUAGGCGGCCCGGUAAGUCCGCUGUGAAAGUCGGGGGCUCAACCCUCGAAUGCCGGUGGAUACUGUCGGGCUAGAGUGCGGAAGAGGCGAGUGGAAUUCCUGGUGUAGCGGUGAAAUGCGCAGAUAUCAGGAGGAACACCGGUGGCGAAGGCGGCUCUCUGGGACGGUACUGACGCUGAGACGCGAAAGCGUGGGGAGCGAACAGG
rnacentral:rRNA from 1 species